UACAGAGGGUGCAAGCGUUGUUCGGAAUUAUUGGGCGUAAAGAGCGUGUAGGCGGCCAGACAGGUCCGUUGUGAAAACUCGAGGCUCAACCUCGAGAUGUCGAUGGAAACCGUCUGGCUAGAGUCCGGAAGAGGAGUGUGGAAUUCCUGGUGUAGCGGUGAAAUGCGCAGAUAUCAGGAAGAACACCUAUGGCGAAGGCAGCACUCUGGGACGGUACUGACGCUGAGACGCGAAAGCGUGGGGAGCGAACAGG
rnacentral:rRNA from 1 species